AGUGAACGCUGGCGGUAGGCCUAACACAUGCAAGUCGAACGGCAGCACAGUAAGAGCUUGUUCUUACGGGUGGCGAGUGGCGGACGGGUGAGGAAUACAUCGGAAUCUACUUUUUCGCGGGGGAUAACGUAGGGAAACUUACGCUAAUACCGCAUACGACCUACGGGUGAAAGCAGGGGAUCUUCGGACCUUGCGCGAUUGAAUGAGCCGAUGUCGGAUUAGCUAGUUGGCGGGGUAAAGGCCCACCAAGGCGACGAUCCGUAGCUGGUCUGAGAGGAUGAUCAGCCACACUGGAACUGAGACACGGUCCAGACUCCUACGGGAGGCAGCAGUGGGGAAUAUUGGACAAUGGGCGCAAGCCUGAUCCAGCCAUACCGCGUGGGUGAAGAAGGCCUUCGGGUUGUAAAGCCCUUUUGUUGGGAAAGAAAAGCAGCAGGUUAAUACCCCGCUGUUCUGACGGUACCCAAAGAAUAAGCACCGGCUAACUUCGUG
rnacentral:rRNA from 1 species